rnacentral:rRNA from 1 species
GCCAGCAGCCAUAUCACCCUGCAACUCACAGCUGAGAACCCACUGGGGCUCGGCAGGUGUGAGCCUGGCCGGUACCUGGAUGGGAGACCUCCUGGGAAAGCUAAGGCUGCUGCUGGAG